ensembl:snoRNA
AUCCAAAGUUUGUGAUUCAUAAGGGCAAUGAUUGGGUUUUCAUGCUAAUAUGUGAGAUGUGACUCCUUCAAACUUCUUUGUUAUGACAUCAGCCACAUUACUCAUCUGACG